rnacentral:rRNA from 1 species
GGAUUAGCUAGUUGGUGAGGUAAAAGGCUCACCAAGGCGACGAUCCAUAGCUGGUCUGAGAGGAUGAUCAGUCACACUGGAACUGAGACACGGUCCAGACUCCUACGGGAGGCAGCAGUGGGGAAUAUUUGGACAAUGGGCGAAAGCCUGAUCCAGCCAUGCCGCGUGUGUGAAAGAAGGUCUUCGGAUUGUAAAGCACUUUAAGUUGGGAGGAAGGGUAGUAACCUAAUACGUUGCUACUUUGACGUUACCGACAGAAUAAGCACCGGCUAACUUCGUG